rnacentral:rRNA from 1 species
AGAGUUUGAUCAUGGCUCAGAUUGAACNCUGGUGGCAUGCUUAACACAUGCAAGUCGAACGGUAACAGUAGGAGCUUGCUUCUAGCUGACGAGUGGCGGACGGGUGAGUAACGCGUAGGAAUCUGCCCAUCUGUGGGGGAUACCAGUUGGAAACGACUGUUAAUACCGCAUAAUAUCUGCGGAUUAAAGGUGGCCUUUGUGCUGCCGCAGAUGGAUGAGCCUGCGCUAGAUUAGCUUGUUGGUGGGGUAAGGGCCUACCAAGGCUACGAUCUAUAGCUGAUUUGAGAGGAUGAUCAGCCACAUUGGGACUGAGACACGGCCCAAACUCCUACGGGAGGCAGCAGUGGGGAAUAUUGGACAAUGGGGGAAACCCUGAUCCAGCAAUGCCAUGUGUGUGAAGAAGGCUCUAGGGUUGUAAGGCACUUUAGUUGGGGAGGAAAGCCUUAUGGUUAAUAGCCAUGAGGAAGGACGUUACCCAAAGAAUAAGGACCGGCUAACUCCGUGCCAGCAGCCGCGGUAAUACGGGGGGUCCGAGCGUUAAUCGGAAUUACUGGGCGUAAAGGGUCUGUAGGUGGUUUGUUAAGUCAGAUGUGAAAGCCCAGGGCUCAACCUUGGAACUGCAUUUGAUACUGGCAAACUAGAGUAUAGUAGAGGAAUGGGGAAUUUCUGGUGUAGACGGUGAAAUGCGUAGAGAUCAGAAGGAACACCAAUGGCGAAGGCAACAUUCUGGACUAAUACUGACACUGAGGGACGAAAGCGUGGGGAUCAAACAGGAUUAGAUACCCUGGUAGUCCACGCUGUAAACGAUGAGUACUAGCUGUUGGAUUCGGUGUAAAGGAUCUAGUGGCGCAGCUAACGCGUUAAGUACUCCGCCUGGGGACUACGGCCGCAAGGCUAAAACUCAAAGGAAUUGACGGGGACCCGCACAAGCGGUGGAGCAUGUGGUUUAAUUCGAUGCAACGCGAAGAACCUUACCUGGUCUUGACAUCCUGCGAACUUUCUAGAGAUAGAUUGGUGCCUUCGGGAACGCAGUGACAGGUGCUGCACGGCUGUCGUCAGCUCGUGUUGUGAAAUGUUGGGUUAAGUCCCGCAACGAGCGCAACCCCUAUUGAUAGUUACCAUCAUUAAGUUGGGUACUCUAUUGAGACUGCCGCUGACAAGGCGGAGGAAGGUGGGGACGACGUCAAGUCAUCAUGGCCCUUACGACCAGGGCUACACACGUGCUACAAUGGGUAUUACAGAGGGCUGCGAAGGUGCGAGCUGGAGCGAAACUCAGAAAGGUACUCUUAGUCCGGAUUGCAGUCUGCAACUCGACUGCAUGAAGUCGGAAUCGCUAGUAAUCGCAGGUCAGAAUACUGCGGUGAAUACGUUCCCGGGUCUUGUACACACCGCCCGUCACACCAUGGGAGUGGGUUGCUCCAGAAGUAGAUAGCUUAACGAAUGGGCGUUUACCACGGAGUGAUUCAUGACUGGGGUGAAGUCGUAACAAGGUA